rnacentral:rRNA from 1 species
CUCGUAGGCGGUUCGUCGCGUCCGGUGUGAAAGUCCAUCGCUUAACGGUGGAUCUGCGCCGGGUACGGGCGGGCUGGAGUGCGGUAGGGGAGACUGGAAUUCCCGGUGUAACGGUGGAAUGUGUAGAUAUCGGGAAGAACACCAAUGGCGAAGGCAGGUCUCUGGGCCGUUACUGACGCUGAGGAGCGAAAGCGUGGGGAGCGAAC